rnacentral:lncRNA from 1 species
UAAAGUGCGAGCCAUCCUUUCUUUCCAGUGAAAAGUCUGGUGCAGCUUGUUUGAUGCAGUUUUUCUAGCCCUGUGGUAUCACCAUGAUGACAUCGACUGACUAUAUUCCUUGCUCAUUGGCGCCAGCUAGGCAAUACAUGACAUACAUGGCAAUUUUCUAAUAUACGCAGAGACCUAGCCUAAUUUCAACACCCCAAAGUGGUUUAGUAAUACUGUGCUCCAAAAGACAUAAAAUGAAACUCCUAAUAUCUCAUUGGUGCAUCCUUACCCCAUAGGCAAGCAAUUGAUCCUGCCCAAAUCCCAGAGUUCCUGUGGGAAUAAUCAAUAUCUGAAAACAGAGCGCUUAACGAAGCGAGGGAAGAAGAGCGUGGGUGGAAGAGAGAAAGAGAGAGAGCGGCCAGGUUUCCACAGCAACGGCCGAUCAACAGCAGCAGUAGCCAAGGGGGUAAUUCCAUCUUGAAGAGAACAGGCUACAGGAGCCACUGCAACGCAGUAAAGAC